UACAGAGGGGGCAAGCGUUGUUCGGAAUUACUGGGCGUAAAGGGCGCGUAGGCGGCCUCAUAAGUCCGCUGUGAAAGUCAAAGGCUCAACCUUUGAAAGCCGGUGGAUACUGUGAGGCUAGAGUACGGAAGAGGCGAGUGGAAUUCCUGGUGUAGCGGUGGAAUGCGCAGAGAUCGUAAGGAAGACCAGUGGCGAAGGCGGGUCUCUGGACAGUAACUGACGCUGAGGAGCGAAAGCGUGGGGAGCGAACAGG
rnacentral:rRNA from 1 species